AUUGAACGCUGGCGGCAGGCCUAACACAUGCAAGUCGAACGAGUGGCGGACGGGUGAGUAAUGUCUGUGAAACUGCCUGAUGGAUGGGGACAACUACUGGAAACGGUAGUUAAUACCGCAUACCAUCGGAUGUGCCCAGAUGGGAUUAGCUGGUAGGUGGGGUAACGGCGCACCUAGACGACGAUCCCUAGCUGGUCUGAGAGGAUGACCGGCCACACUGGAACUUAGAGACGGUCCAGACUCCUAGGGGAGGAAGCGGUGGGGAAUAUUGCACAAUGGGCGCAAGCCUGAUGCAGCGAUGCCGCGUGGAUGAAGAAGGCCUUCGGGUUGGAAAGUACUUUCAGCGGGGAGGCGUUAGCCGCAGAAGAAGCACCGUCUAACUCCGUGCCAGCAGCCGCGGUAAUUC
rnacentral:rRNA from 1 species